UUGGUGCUUGCAUCAUGAUUUACAUUUGAGUGAGUGGCGAACUGGUGAGUAACACGUGGGAAACCUGCCCAGAAGCGGGGGAUAACACCUGGAAACAGAUGCUAAUACCGCAUAACAACUUGGACCGCAUGGUCCGAGCUUGAAAGAUGGCUUCGGCUAUCACUUUUGGAUGGUCCCGCGGCGUAUUAGCUAGAUGGUGGGGUAACGGCUCACCAUGGCAAUGAUACGUAGCCGACCUGAGAGGGUAAUCGGCCACAUUGGGACUGAGACACGGCCCAAACUCCUACGGGAGGCAGCAGUAGGGAAUCUUCCACAAUGGACGAAAGUCUGAUGGAGCAACGCCGCGUGAGUGAAGAAGGGUUUCGGCUCGUAAAACUCUGUUGUUAAAGAAGAACAUAUCUGAGAGUAACUGUUCAGGUAUUGACGGUAUUUAACCAGAAAGCCACGGCUAACUACGUGCCAGCAGCCGCGGUAAUACGUAGGUGGCAAGCGUUGUCCGGAUUUAUUGGGCGUAAAGCGAGCGCAGGCGGUUUUUUAAGUCUGAUGUGAAAGCCUUCGGCUCAACCGAAGAAGUGCAUCGGAAACUGGGAAACUUGAGUGCAGAAGAGGACAGUGGAACUCCAUGUGUAGCGGUGAAAUGCGUAGAUAUAUGGAAGAACACCAGUGGCGAAGGCGGCUGUCUGGUCUGUAACUGACGCUGAGGCUCGAAAGUAUGGGUAGCAAACAGGAUUAGAUACCCUGGUAGUCCAUACCGUAAACGAUGAAUGCUAAGUGUUUGGAGGGUUUCCGCCCUUCAGUGCUGCAGCUAACGCAUUAAGCAUUCCGCCUGGGGAGUACGGCCGCAAGGCUGAAACUCAAAGGAAUUGACGGGGGCCCGCACAAGCGGUGGAGCAUGUGGUUUAAUUCGAAGCUACGCGAAGAACCUUACCAGGUCUUGACAUACUAUGCAAAUCUAAGAGAUUAGACGUUCCCUUCGGGGACAUGGAUACAGGUGGUGCAUGGUUGUCGUCAGCUCGUGUCGUGAAAUGUUUGGGUUAAGUCCCGGCAACGAGCGCAACCCUUAUUAUCAGUUGCCAGCAUUAAAUUGGGCACCCUGGGUG
rnacentral:rRNA from 2 species